rfam:Coprinopsis cinerea okayama7#130 chromosome 10 cont3.10, whole genome shotgun sequence.
GGCCUUAUGGUCUAGUCGUAUGAUUCCUCGUUUGGGUUGACAAUUAUGUCUAUGUCUCAUAUCGAGGAGGUCCUGGGUUCAAUUCCCAGUGAGGCCC